GGGACUAAAGUCAUAGGGAAGAAAAGCAUACACUGGUUUUCUGGACAUUCCCUGGGAUUAUACACACACACCAUGCAACAAUCACAGGCACCAGCUCCCAGCAGGCACAUGAUCGCCUCUCUUCACACUCCUGAGCGCUAACCCCAGAGAUAUUUGCAAACAGAGUGUGUCCUGUCAAAAAAGCUCACAGGAAAGCUAUUAUCUUCCUCCUGACCCAGGAGCCCAGGGGAGGAAAGCGAGGUUGGCAGGCUAGUGAAUAUUUAAAUUCUAAGCCAGCCUAGUGCUCCUGCCACAGCACACAGUGCACAAGCAGCAUAUUACAAAGGAAGCCAGGUCCCUGGACUGCAUGUGCUAAUUUCUGUCCCGAAGGAGACAUGGAAGUAGCAACCUCAGCUCUCCAGGUCCUUUUCCACCACGGGGCCUGGCUGGCGGCUCACCUGAUUAUUUCUGGGAACGAUCUAAUUAAAUAUUAACCACGUACAAAACCUCAUUCUUACAUUCCUCAAUAAGUCACUGUGAAGACGAGCAAACCCAGACAAUGAACUCAAACUCCAUCUUUCCAGAAAAUGGGGCCCGAGAAUAGGUAAGUCCUGUGACAUUCACCCAUUGCAAAGUUACUCAUUGUAAGUGGCCCUCUUAGCCUCUGAGAAAAACCCAGAGCAAAACAAAACAAAACAAUCCACCUUUGGUGAGACGCCUGUAAUCCCAACACCUCGGGAGGCCGAGGUGAGGUGGGUGGAUCGCCUGAGGUCAGGAGUUCGAGACCAGCCUGUCCAACAUGGUGAAACACCUUCUCUACUGAAAACACAAAAAUUAGCCAGGUGUGGUGGCGCACGCUUGUAGUCCCAGCCACUUGGGAGGCUGAGGUAGGAGAAUCACUUGAACCCGGGAGGCGGAGGUUGCAGCGAGCUGAGAUCAUGCCAUUGCACUCCAGCCUGGGCAACGAGAGAGACUCUGUCUUUAAUUUAAAAAAAAAAAAUCCACCUUCUUGUGUAUCAAACCAACCACUAAAAUGUGUGGUCCUGUAUCAGAGAGUCUCUCUUUGACACUCAGGAAGGUUGCCCUUCUUAUCAUUUAAGAGUAAGAUCAAUGAAGUUGGUCCUUCACAUCCCAUCUCCUCCAUGUAGCAAUCAGACCUCUUUAUGCCUCCUCAAAGGCACGGGAAAAAACUCAGUGAAUAAACAAAGUUUCUGACAACAUCCAGAUCUGUCUGCCAAUUCAGGUUUUCUCCCUAUGAUCUACAAGUUCUUGGCACAAUUAUGUAUUGGUGACUUUAAAUUUUUUUAAAAUGACGGGCUAGCCGGGCUGAACCAGUUCAUGGUGAUGAAGCUCACAAGGAUAAAUUGGUAAUUUGCAGCCACCUGGGUUCCAGCACGUGGCAUUUCUAAAGCCUUGAUAUCCUCAGGAUUUAUUAUCGCUUUCUGGGUCAAUCCCAAGCACAAAGGUUAGAAGGUCUCCCUGCGUUCUCUCUCAUUUCAAAACGAAAGCUGUUGUAGAGUGCAUGUGCUAACUAGAUGUGAAGGCAACCGCAGAAGUCAUCGCUCUCUGCAAGGACAAGUGGGACGGAACUUGCAAAUAGCCGCCACAAACGCAAAUGUCACCAACCUGCAUUAGACAGAAGUGGGAGGGGUCCUCUGGCUUCCUUUACCUCUAGAGUAAAAUUUUUCAGCCAUUUCAGUCCUGGUUGACUUAUUUUGGCAAAUAAACAAGUAUGCCCCCCCUCCACCGCCCAUCCCCCAAGCCUGAGAGCACUUCAAGAGUUUGUAAAAUAAAAAGCAACAGGAAACCAGAAACGCAGCAACGUCUGCAUCGUGGGUCCCCGGCACAAACACAAGUACAAAACGCACACCCGCGCCCUUAUUUAAUUUCUAAAGCCUUCCCAGGAUAGGCAUCAUCUGGAAGAGAUACAAGCGUGGGAGGCGCAGGAAGGGAGCCCCAGGAAGUUUCUGUCUGUCGGGCGCCGGUAUUUAAUGAGGGGGUGUGCACCUAUUUAUACGUGGGCAGCGCUCGGGCAAACAAGUCUGGCGACAUACGAGAAGCUUUUCACCCAGCAAAUAAUAGGAGACUGUGCAGCCCUGGGAAACUGCUCACGAGAGAAGGAAGCUGGGAGUUUAAGGAAUUUCCUUUAAGGAAACUGCCCGUGGGGGCAUCGGUUUCAGCGGCUGCAGCUGUUAUCCAUGCGGGGAUGCAGGACGCAUUUCCAGAGACGCAGCCGGCUCCGCAACCGGACACCUCGCCAGCGCCAGGGACAAUGGGGGCUGAGGCCGGGCGGUAUUAGGCUGGGACAGAAGGCAGGCGGAUCUGAACAGCAAAGUACACUGAGGAGAUGCCGCCAGGGGUGGCGUGAGGCUUUUUAAAAACAUUAUUUUUGGCUUCCCCUUAAAAUUACUGGUCACAAGACUGAAGUAAAAAGAUAAAUAAAAGCCCAGAGUCCUCUCUAA